GGGGAGAAACAGGAAGAUCAGGCUGCAGGUGAAACCACCAUUUCAAAGGUGGAUAAUGCUGGACCUAGUGGUUUCACUCGCAGUGGAAGGUUGUUCGCACCAGACACUUUGAGAAGUGGGGAGGGAGAAAAAGAAAAGAAAGAUAAGGCCGAGGCUUUAGCCAGGGCAAGUGGGAAGCAGGUGGUGAGCGAGGGUACUCCUGUAGCGACACCGGUGCCUGGUG
rnacentral:lncRNA from 1 species